rnacentral:rRNA from 1 species
CUACGGGUUGCUCCAGUGGGGAAUUUUGCGCAAUGGGGGCAACCCUGACGCAGCAAUACCGCGUGAGUGAAGAAGGCCUUUGGGUCGUAAAGCUCUUUUCUAAGGGAAGAUAGUGACGGUACCUUAGGAAUAAGCACCGGCUAACUCCGUGCCAGCAGCCGCGGUAAUACGGAGGGUGCGAGCGUUGUUCGGAUUUACUGGGCGUAAAGGGCGCGUAGGCGGCCUAGCAAGUUAAGGGUGAAAUCCCGGGGCUCAACUCCGGAACUGCUCUUAAAACUGCUAAGCUAGAGAUAGUCAGAGGCGGGUGGAAUUCCAGGUGUAGAGGUGAAAUUCGUAGAUAUCUGGAGGAACACCGGUGGCGAAGGCGGCCCGCUGGGGCUAUUCUGACGCUGAGGUGCGAAAGCGUGGGGAGCGAACGGGAUUAGAUACCCCAGUAGUC